GGCACUGUGGCUUAGUUGGUCAAAACACCUGUCUAGUAAACAGGAGAUCCUAGGUCCCAGAAUCCCAGCAGUGCCU
rnacentral:tRNA from 1 species